CAAGUCAUCAUCGGCCCUUUAUCGUCCGAGGGCGACGCACGUGCUACAAUGGCCGGCACAGGCGGGAAGCGAGGGGCGACCUUGAGCGGAUCCCUCAAAGCCGGUCUCAGUUCGGAUUGCAGUCUGCAACUCGACUGCAUGAAGUUGGAAUCGCUAGUAAUCGUGGAUCAGCCAAGCCGCGGUGAAUACGUUCCCGGGCCUU
rnacentral:rRNA from 1 species